GUUUGGAUUUCUCAUAUUCAGCUUAACUUGUGCAGGUUUGUGAUGGAGUAUUAGUGAGUAUCUGAAGGAAUGCUGAUUUUGGUGACUUACUUGGUUAUGUACAGAUUAUUUACAUUGCCAAGAAGAGUUGAGAGGACCAAAGAAAACAGAAAUGUAUUAAAGCCCUGAAAUCAAAUACAGCUCUCUAGUCCUCUUUUAGUCAAGAUCCUAAGCAAAGGGAAUUGAAGGUUAUUUUAAUCAGACCACAUACGUAUAUAGCUCCAAAGCUAAAUUAUGUGGUAGUUGGAGAUUUCUAUUGCUGCCUGUAUAUAUGUUUUCUAUAAUUAGCAUUCAGGUAGGCAUGCUUCUCAAUGAUAGACUUUCCAAAGAGCAUUACUGUUUUGAGACCCUGAUAAAAAUGAACAGUGGAGUUGUUUUUUCUUGUUUCUCUUUGGGUUUCCUGUCAGGGAAAGGAAACAGAUAACCACAGGGACCUCAGCAAUCUGCAGCCACAAAACCAGCUAAAAGAACAAGUGUUUUUUUUUGGUUGUGUAUUAUUGUUUCACGUGUGGGGAAGGUGAGCAGCACCUGAAGUGCUGACAGAUUUGUGUCUGAGGACAUUCCAGGUGCUCUGCUGGUGCUGUCCCCGUGCUGCUGGUUGCUCUCUGUGAAGCAGCGCAGCUGGGCCCAGCGGCCGCCAUUUUGUGCCUCCGCGUGCCGCUGGUGAUGGCGGCUGCGCCCAUGAGGGGGGCGAUGCAGUGGGAUCCAGCCAGCACCUCGCUGAGGGGCCUGGAUGGGAGGGACGGAGCAACGCAAGUUUCUAUGGGAAGAACUCCAUGUAUGUAAGAGUCACCUGAAGACUGACUUCAGCUCAGACAAGGUACUCCUUUGCCUUAUACGAAAAAUUUUUAGUUUUAGAUAUGCUACUGAAUGUUGUUUGGAAAUAAGUUUAUAUCUCAUUUUCUUUGGCUGUUCUAAGUGAACUCAUUGAAAGUGUUGUUGAUUUUAAAAUAUUUGUAUUACAAAGAUGUCUGACUUAAAGGUAAGCAUCCUACUAAUGAACACAAAUACAGAUUGCAAACUUCUCUGAAAUGCUUGGGAAUCAACCUUUUGCGACAGAAAUCAAUGUUCUACCAUAUGUAGGAUGACAGAUGAAAUAGCACUUAGUCACGUUGCAACAGUAGAAUUAAAAUACCCCAGUCACCAUAAUCCAAAGGAACUCUAGAGUCACAGCCCCAUCUGAAGAGAAUUGUAUCAAUGUAUCAUUUAGUUUAUUUUUGUUACUAAAAGCCUUACCUACAAAUGCAAAUAUGACCAGGAAAAUUUGUUAUGAUGUGUGUUGUUUGAGUCCUGCUUUGGCUUACAAAAUGAAAAGUACCAACACAGUAGGCAGAGCACCAUGAACAGUAACAGUGGCAUAAAAUUCAAUGCUGAUGAUUUAGGAAAAAAAAAAAAAGCAAAAUAAUUUUUGAAAUAGAGUGAAACUGUGAACAUGACUUUGUGGUCAUCAUCAGAGCUUUAGCUACUUUUACAAAUUUUAAGCAUGGAAUUAUUCAUUUAGACUUUGGGCUCCAACUACUGUCACUAUCUUAAUUCAGCCCUCCCAUUCUUUAAAAUUAACUUAUUCUUUAAUAUUUGCAAACCUUGAAAUGACUGAUCAAAUAGGCCUGCACCUUUUAUAAGUUUGUUUUUUCACCUGUUUUCAAAUGGUGCUGACUUGUGUGGAUGUUGGUCUCUGGAACUAGAGGUCAUGGUUCUUCAUGCAGACUAGGGAAAGACUGCAACUCAGUGUGAGGGGAUGUAAUUUCAUUCUCCGCUCUGUUCAGAGCAAGUAUAGUCCUGGCAGUUUAAAAAAAAAAAAAAAAAAAAAAAAGGAGGGGGGGGCAUAAAAAUCACAGUUGAUAUUCCUUUUACAGUCUUUUUGAAAAUUGUGAUGCAAAUCUGUAGACAAGCUCUGAAGUACCAAUCACUGGACUUAUUCCUCUUCCAUUAUUCAUCUGUUUCAUAAGAUAUUUUAAUGACAAAGCCCCAUAAGUCUUCACUGGAAUAUAGGAUGCUAAUAUAAAUUCUUUUAGGUGUCUCAAAACAUCUUGGGAAGCUGCGUUUUUCAGUUACUUUGUCCAUGUUUUAAUUUUUAUUGUGUUUUCAGUUUAAUGAAAAAUGGCUUUUACAGAACAUUAAUAUGCUCACUUUUAAUUUUAGCCUUGUUUACUUUUGUCUUUAUGUAUACUUCCUAAUAGGUAUAAUGUGUGUACAUAUUCUCACAGGUCUUGAUAUGGCCCCAGUGAUAUUAAGCAAGUAAAUGGAAAAUUACCUUAAGAAUGAUUUUAAAAAACAAUGUCUACAUAAGUAGUUGCAGAAAAUGUUUUCAAAAGCUAGGACGAAUGGAGCAAUUACACAGUAAAAACAUAUUUAUGCCUGUAUAGAUUGGCAGAUUAAGAUACUUUAGUUUAAGAAUACAAGAAAAUAAAAGUCAAACUAAAGGUCCA
rnacentral:lncRNA from 1 species